rnacentral:rRNA from 1 species
CUUAGUGGCGGACGGGUGAGUAACGCGUGGGUAACCUGCCUUGCACUGGGGGAUAACACUUAGAAAUAGGUGCUAAUACCGCAUAAGCGCACGGUCCCGCAUGUGACAGUGUGAAAAACUCCGGUGGUGCAAGAUGGACCCGCGUCUGAUUAGCUGGUUGGCGGGGUAAAGGCCCACCAAGGCGACGAUCAGUAGCCGGCCUGAGAGGGUGGACGGCCACAUUGGGACUGAGACACGGCCCAAACUCCUACGGGAGGCAGCAG